GACGAACGCUGGCGGCGUGCUUAACACAUGCAAGUCGAACGGAAAGGCCCUGCUUGCCGGGUACUCGAGUGGCGAACGGGUGAGUAACACGUGGGUGAUCUGCCCUGCACUUCGGGAUAAGCCUGGGAAACUGGGUCUAAUACCGGAUAGGAGCCAUUUUUAGUGUGAUGGUUGGAAAGUUUUUUCGGUGUAGGAUGAGCUCGCGGCCUAUCAGCUUGUUGGUGGGGUAAUGGCCUACCAAGGCGGCGACGGGUAGCCGGCCUGAGAGGGUGGACGGCCACAUUGGGACUGAGAUACGGCCCAGACUCCUACGGGAGGCAGCAGCGGGGAAUAUUGCACAAUGGGCGCAAGCCUGAUGCAGCGACGCCGCGUGGGGGAUGACGGCCUUCGGGUUGUAAACUCCUUUCGCUAGGGACGAAGCUUUUUGUGACGGUACCUAGAGAAGAAGCACCGGCUAACUACGUG
rnacentral:rRNA from 1 species